AGGGCAGCGCGUCUGACUCCAGAUCAGAAGGCUGUGUGUUCAAAUCACACCGGGGUCA
rnacentral:tRNA from 1 species